UGCAGACAUUUUGUAUUCUUUGGUCUGCUUUCCCUUGGGCAAAGACAUUCAGCUGUGAACCUCCUUCCCUGGCUCUUUGUCAUCUGGCCUGUGGCCCCUGGAGAGAGCUCUCCUGGUGCAGUUGCACUUGUGUAUCCGGCACUUUGGGCCACCACAGGGCUGUGCUGGGAAUAUUCAAGGUGGAUGAAGGAGGCCCAGAGGGCUAAUUCCAAGUGACCCAAAAUUUCAGAAAAGUUGCAAAAUAUUGUUUCAUGACAAGGUCACAGGAACACAGUUUGAGAAGAGAGAAGUAUGAAGUUUGUCUAAGAUGUGAACAUUAAGAAUUCUGCUGCGUUUCUAUGGACCCAGCACUUACUACUCCAACUAAAAAUGUGGAUGAGCUAAUUUCUUCAUCAUCUGAGCAGUUGCUUACAGUUCAUAGGGGCCAACUCUACAGCGGGUGUAAAUUGGAUGAAAUGAAGAUGAUGAAUCUGGCUGGUUGCUUUCUCUGUUUUGUCUCAUUACCUGGAUUUAGAGGUAUUGCCUGCUGCCACUCUGAGAAAGUCAGCAAGGGCCUCAGAAGUUAGACAGGAUCAUCUCCUAAAGACGCAGGAGGCAAAAAGGAGUUUGCUUGGCAAUCUCUGAUAAUACUCUGAAAGCUCUGAAAAUUUCAGGGAGGAAAGUGUCUUAGAAACAUCCAAAGGACUUCAUUAAACUGUUCUUGGGUUCUGCAGCGGAAUGGGAAGAUUAAACAAACAGAGGAAGAGCUCCAGGCCCUAAAGCAUGGCUGAUAGCAAUGAGGACAAGAGCCUUGGAAAAUUCUACACGUAUCUCUGACCACCAGACAAUGCUAAGCUCCUUCCCUCCAUCUCAGUAGGGAAGGGAAUUGACCCUGGUGCCAAGUGAGGUUGAGCAGGAGCCAGGAAAAUGUCAUAGUGAACCUCCUCAUUGUGGAAAUGCCCCCCAGCCUGAGGUUUAACCAAGGCUGCUGUCCCCAGUUGCUUUGCUGGAGAAGACCAAGCCCUAGUGAAGAGCAAUGAACAGAGAGGACAAAGUAUUAUCAGUAACUGUUUACUCAGAAAAGGCUUUCAACCAAUUUGUUUUUGUUGCAAUAAUCAACUUGGGAAGCACUGUGAUCCUGGAAGGAGAUUUUAUGGAUCAUUAAUAGAGAAGAAAUUAUCAGAGAAAAAGACUUUUCUGACAUUUUCAAUACUGUUUUCAUCAGAGCCCAUUUCACCAGCAAUAACUCUUUUACUUAUACUCUAUUUUAUUUUCAAAUCAAUGCUAUUUUCUUCACCUAACACUAAGUCCUUUACUUUGAUAGCAACUAAACAUUUCCUUUAAUGAGCAUUAGAGAUAACAAUUUUAAGCAUUAGUUGGAGCCAUCAUGCAACAAAAACUCAAUGCCAUUUAAAAACACUUAAUGCACAGGCUGACGUUUGUCAUCUCACUAAAGAGCAUAAGAUUAGAAGUGCUACAACUUAGAAAGAAAGCAUUAUCCCACUGAUGAGAUAGUGCUUUUCUUUGUACUAAUCACACAGUCUAAAACAUGUCUUUGUAUCUACUUCUUAUGUUAAAAACCCUAACAGAAUGUUCCUGCAUUAGAUGACAAAGAAAAACAAU